rnacentral:rRNA from 1 species
GACGAACGCUGGCGGCGUGCUUAACACAUGCAAGUCGAACGGAAAGGCCCUGCUUUUGUGGGGUGCUCGAGUGGCGAACGGGUGAGUAACACGUGAGUAACCUGCCCUUGACUUUGGGAUAACUUCAGGAAACUGGGGCUAAUACCGGAUAGGAGCUCCUGCUGCAUGGUGGGGGUUGGAAAGUUUCGGCGGUUGGGGAUGGACUCGCGGCUUAUCAGCUUGUUGGUGGGGUAGUGGCUUACCAAGGCUUUGACGGGUAGCCGGCCUGGCAGGGUGACCGGCCCAAUUGGCAUGGGGGAGGCGCCAGGACGGCAUCGGGGGGGAGGGGUGGGAAAUUUGGCAAACAGGGCGGAGGGGGUGAGGAACGACCCCGGGUCGGGGAAGGCGGCCUUCGGGUUGUAACCAGUUUUGGCGUGUGACGAAGCGGGGGGAGGGGAACUGGGGAAAAAACCACGGGUAACUACGUG